GAUGAAGAACGCAGCGAAAUGCGAUAAGUAGUGUGAAUUGCAGAAUUCAGUGAAUCAUCGAAUCUUUGAACGCACAUUGCGCCUUCUAGUAUUCUGGGAGGCAUGCCUGUUUGAGCGUCAUUAAACCUCUCUCAAGUAUGAUUACUUGGAUGUGAAGGAAGAGUACCUUAAACUUAAGGAGUGUUCUCCUUUGAAAUUGAUUAGCAGAUGGUAAUGUUAUUAAAUCCCUGAUGUUGUAAGAAAUAACAGUGGUUUUGUAGACUAUUAUCUAGCUUUAAAUUAUAAUUUUUAUUAUGGUUGACCUCAAAUCAGGUAAGGAUACCCGCUGAACUUAAGCAUAUCAAUAACGGAGGA
rnacentral:misc_RNA from 1 species